GGGGAAUUUUCCGCAAUGGGCGAAAGCCUGACGGAGCAAUACCGCGUGAGGGAGGAAGGCUCUUGGGUUGUAAACCUCUUUUCUCAGGGAAGAAAAAAAUGACGGUACCUGAGGAAUAAGCAUCGGCUAACUCCGUGCCAGCAGCCGCGGUAAUACGGAGGAUGCAAGCGUUAUCCGGAAUGAUUGGGCGUAAAGCGUCCGCAGGUGGCUAUGUAAGUCUGCUGUUAAAGAGUCUGGCUCAACCAGAUAAAGGCAGUGGAAACUACAUGGCUAGAGUGCGUUCGGGGCAGAGGGAAUUCCUGGUGUAGCGGUGAAAUGCGUAGAGAUCAGGAAGAACACCGGUGGCGAAAGCGCUCUGCUAGGCCGCAACUGACACUGAGGGACGAAAGCUAGGGGAGCGAAUGGGAUUAGAUACCCCAGUAGUCCUAGCCGUAAACGAUGGAUACUAGGCGUGGCUUGUAUCGACCCGAGCCGUGCCGUAGCUAACGCGUUAAGUAUCCCGCCUGGGGAGUACGCAGGCAACUGUGAAACUCAAAGGAAUUGACGGGGGCCCGCACAAGCGGUGGAGUAUGUGGUUUAAUUCGAUGCAAUGCGAAGAACCUUACCAGGACUUGACAUGUCGCGAAUUUCUGUGAAAGCAGAAAGUGCCUUCGGGAGCGCGAACACAGGUGGUGCAUGGCUGUCGUCAGCUCGUGUCGUGAGAUGUUGGGUUAAGUCCCGCAACGAGCGCAACCCUCGUUUUUAGUUGCCAGCAUUAAGUUGGGCACUCUAGAGAGACUGCCGGUGACAAACCGGAGGAAGGUGGGGAUGACGUCAAGUCAGCAUGCCCCUUACGUUCUGGGCUACACACGUACUACAAUGCUACGGACAAAGGGCAGCAAGCUAGCGAUAGCAAGCUAAUCUCAUAAACCGUGGCUCAGUUCAGAUCGCAGGCUGCAACUCGCCUGCGUGAAGGAGGAAUCGCUAGUAAUUGCAGGUCAGCAUACUGCAGUGAAUUCGUUCCCGGGCCUUGUACACACCGCCCGUCACACCAUGGAAGCUGGUAGUGCCCGAAGUCAUUACCCCAACCGCUUGCGGAGGGGGAUGCCUAAGGCAGGACUGGUGACUGGGGUGAAGUCGUAACAAGGUAGCCGUACCGGAAGGUGUGGCUGGAUCACCUCCUU
rnacentral:rRNA from 1 species